rnacentral:lncRNA from 1 species
GUAUGAUUGCCAAUGAGACAAUCCACAGAAAUGCAGCGGAGGCAAAUUAACACAGUCAUGCAUAUUUUUGUUUUAUGCAUGACAGUUUCUUUAAUUCGUUUUCUGUUGAUAUAUGUCCUAGUUUACCGUUGAAGCUGUUGCUUUUUUGGUAUGUUUAUUUUUUUUUUCGUGCGAGUUACUCUAUUAAAGUUGGAAAAAAAUAUUCCCGACAUUCGGAAAUUCGAAAAAAGACUUCCCGGAUCCCGAAACCUGAUCAUAUACUGCAUUCAGUCUCUGUCGGGACGGUGUUAAAGUAUCACCGUAUAAAAAUUUUCAUUCAAACAAUAUAUCCUUAUAAUAUUUAUUUUCUUAUCCAUAUAAUAUGUAUAUAGUACUUUG